rnacentral:rRNA from 1 species
CCUUAGAGUUUGAUCAUGGCUCAGAACGUACGCUGGCGGCACGCCUAACACAUGCAAGUCGAACGAAGUAGCAAUACUUAGUGGCAGACGGGUGAGUAACAUGUGGGUAUCUACCCUUUGGCCUGGAAUAACACGAGGAAACUUGUGCUAAUACCGGAUAAGUCUUUACGGAGAAAGCUUUAUGCACCAUUGGAUGAGCCCGCACUUGAUUAGUUUGUUGGUAGGGUAAUGGCCUACCAAGACUAUGAUCAAUAGCUGAUUUGAGAGGAUGAUCAGCCACAUUGGGACUGAGACACGGCCCAAACUCCUACGGGAGGCAGCAGUGGGGAAUCUUGCACAAUGGAGGAAACUCUGAUGCAGCGAUGCCGCGUGAGUGAAGAAGGCCUUUGGGUUGUAAAGCUCUUUCGUCGGGGAAGAAAAUGACUGUACCCGAAUAAGAAGGUCCGGCUAACUUCGUGCCAGCAGCCGCGGUAAUACGAAGGGACCUAGCGUAGUUCGGAAUUACUGGGCUUAAAGAGUUCGUAGGUGGUUGAAAAAGUUAGUGGUGAAAUCCCAGAGCUUAACUCUGGAACUGCCAUUAAAACUUUUCAGCUAGAGUAUGAUAGAGGAAAGCAGAAUUUCUAGUGUAGAGGUGAAAUUCGUAGAUAUUAGAAAGAAUACCAAUUGCGAAGGCAGCUUUCUGGAUCAUUACUGACACUGAGGAACGAAAGCAUGGGUAGCGAAGAGGAUUAGAUACCCUCGUAGUCCAUGCCGUAAACGAUGUGUGUUAGACGUUGGAAAUUUAUUUUCAGUGUCGCAGGGAAACCGAUAAACACACCGCCUGGGGAGUACGACCGCAAGGUUAAAACUCAAAUGAAUUGACGGGACCCGC